AACAAACGCUGGCGGCGUGCCUAACACAUGCAAGUCGUACGAGAAAGGGUCCUUCGGGGCCUGAGUAAAGUGGCGCACGGGUGAGUAACGCGUGGAUAAUCUGCCCUUCAGUUGGGAAUAACUCAUCGAAAGGUGGGCUAAUACCGAAUAAUGCUGUGCGACCUCGGUUGAUCAGCCAAAGAGAGCCUCUGCUUGCAAGCCCGCGCUGAAGGAUGAGUACGCGUACCAUUAGCUAGUUGGUAGGGUAAUGGCCUACCAAUGCGACGAUGGUUAGCUGGUCUGAGGGGAUGAUCAGCCACGCUGGAACUGAGGCACGGUCCAGACUCCUACGGGAGGCAGCAGUGAGGAAUCUUGCGCAAUGGGGGCAACCCUGACGCAGCAACGCCGCGUGAGUGAGGAAGGUCUUCGGAUCGUAAAGCUCUGUCGGAUGGAAAGAACCGCAUAGGGGUAAACAGCCCCUGUGUCUGACGGUACCAUCAAAGGAAGCACCGGCUAACUCCGUGCCAGCCGCCGCAGUAACAC
rnacentral:rRNA from 1 species